AUGAACUCCGAGAUUAUUGAUCGAAUUAGGAAGAUGAGAAGUGAGGAUGAUGAUGAUAUGAUGUCCUUUAUUCUGCCUGUAUUGCAUAUAAUGCGUAAUAGAGGACCAGUCGAGAGAAAGCAGCGACAUAGCUCUUUCCUUUAUGGCAAGAAGCGUGUUGACGAUAUCCUUGGAGGGCAUGUUAAGAAUUGCCUCGUAGCUUAUAGGACGGAGCCACGUAUCUUUCAGGCUUUGGCAUCUUAUCUUAGAAGAGAAAAUCUGAUAUCCGAUACAAGAAUUAAGGUGGAGGAGAAGUUAGCCUUUUCCUAUACAUGGUGUGUCACAACGCGUCUUAUGAAGAUCUCCAGCUAG
rnacentral:rRNA from 1 species